AUCUUCCGCAAUGGGCGAAAGCCUGACGGAGCAACGCCGCGUGAGUGAUGAAGGUCUUCGGAUCGUAAAACUCUGUUAUUAGGGAAGAACAUAUGUGUAAGUAACUGUGCACAUCUUGACGGUACCUAAUCAGAAAGCCACGGCUAACUACGUGCCAGCAGCCGCGGUAAUACGUAGGUGGCAAGCGUUAUCCGGAAUUAUUGGGCGUAAAGCGCGCGAAGGCGGUUUUUUAAGUCUGAUGUGAAAGCCCACGGCUCAACCGUGGAGGGUCAUUGGAAACUGGAAAACUUGAGUGCAGAAGAGGAAAGUGGAAUUCCAUGUGUAGCGGUGAAAUGCGCAGAGAUAUGGAGGAACACCAGUGGCGAAGGCGACUUUCUGGUCUGUAACUGACGCUGAUGUGCGAAAGCGUGGGGAUCAAACAGGAUUAGAUACCCUGG
rnacentral:rRNA from 1 species